rnacentral:tRNA from 1 species
GAGGUUAUAGCUCAGUGGUAGAGCACAUGCCUAGCAUGUACAAGGUCCUGGGUUCAAUCCCCAGUACCUCCA